AACGAACGCUGGCGGCAUGCCUAACACAUGCAAGUCGAACGAGACCUUCGGGUCUAGUGGCGCACGGGUGCGUAACGCGUGGUAACCUGCCCUUAGGUUCGGAAUAACUCACCGAAGGGGGUGCUAAUACCGGAUGAUGUCUUCGGACCAAAGAUUUAUCGCCUUUGGAUGGGCCCGCGUUGGAUUAGCUAGUUGGUAGGGUACAAGCCUACCAAGGCGACGUUCCAUAGCUGGUCGGUGAGGAUGAUCAGCCACACUGGGACUGCGACACGGCCCAGACUCCUACGGGAGGCAGCAGUGGGGAAUAUUGGACGAGGGGCGAUAGCCUGAUCCAGCAAUGCCGCGUGAGUGAUGAAGGCCUUAGGGUUGUAAAGCUCUUUUACCCGGGAUGAUAAUGACAGUACCGGGAGAAUAAGCUCCGGCUAACUCCGUG
rnacentral:rRNA from 1 species